GCCUUUGUGGUGUAACGGUUAGCAAACUUGGCAUGCAUUCAAAAGGUCCAGGUUUGAGUCCCGGUGAAGGCA
rnacentral:tRNA from 1 species